AUCCAGCUGACGAGUCCAAAUUAGGACGAAAUGCGCGUCCUGUAU
rnacentral:hammerhead_ribozyme from 1 species